GGUUUGGACUCUAUCUUUAGCUUUAAUUCAUCUAAUAAUUCGGAUGUUUCGCAAUCCGUAUCGGUCGAUGAGGGUGGUAAUUUCAGUACACCUGAGAAUCAUAAUAAUAACAACAACAACAAUGCUGGGAUUUAUCAAGUUGAAAGCAAGCCAAAUUUGCCUGAUUUCAAGCCAGAAAAUGGGAAUUUUCAAGAGGAGAGUAAGCAAAAUAUGGAGACACAACAAGUGCCUUUAACUAUGCUGGAGAAAUGGCUACUUGAGGAUGCUAAUGCACAAGCUGAACAAGAAGAUCAGUUAAUGGGAAUUGGAAUGGGAAUGGGAAUGACCUUAGCUGAAACUAAUGAUUUGUUUUGAAGAAAAAAAA
rnacentral:misc_RNA from 1 species